GACGAACGCUGGCGGCGUGCUUAACACAUGCAAGUCGAACGGAAAGGCCCUGCUGUUGUGGGGUGCUCGAGUGGCGAACGGGUGAGUAACACGUGAGUAACCUGCCCUUGACUUUGGGAUAACUUCAGGAAACUGGGGCUAAUACCGGAUAGGAGCUCCUGCUGCAUGGUGGGGGUUGGAAAGUUUCGGCGGUUGGGGAUGGACUCGCGGCUUAUCAGCUUGUUGGUGGGGUAGUGGCUUACCAAGGCUUUGACGGGUAGCCGGCCUGGGAGGGUGACCGGCCACAUUGGGACUGAGAUACGGCCCAGACUCCUACGGGAGGCAGCAGGGGGGAAUAUUGCACAAUGGGCGGAAGCCUGAUGCAGCAACGCCGCGUGCGGGAUGACGGCCUUCGGGUUGUAACCCGCUUUCGCCUGUGACGAAGCGUGAGUGACGGUAAUGGGUAAAGAAGCACCGGCUAACUACGUG
rnacentral:rRNA from 1 species